GAGUUUGAUCCUGGCUCAGAACGAACGCUGGCGGCGUGCUUAACACAUGCAAGUCGAACGUGAUUGAGAGCUUGCUCUCAUGAAAGUGGCGCACGGGUGAGUAACACGUGGAUAAUCUGCCUGGCGAUUCGGGAUAACACUUCGAAAGGGGUGCUAAUACUGGAUAAGCCCACGGUCUCUUCGGAGAGCGCGGGAAAAGGGGGCCUCUGUAUAUGCUCCUGUCGCUAGAUGAGUCCGCGGCCCAUUAGCUAGUUGGUAGGGUAAUGGCCUACCAAGGCUACGAUGGUUAGCUGGUCUGAGAGGAUGAUCAGCCACACUGGAACUGAGACACGGUCCAGACUCCUACGGGAGGCAGCAGUGGGGAAUUUUGCGCAAUGGGGGAAACCCUGACGCAGCAACGCCGCGUGAGUGAUGAAGGCUUUCGGGUCGUAAAGCUCUGUCAGAGGGGAAGAAAUGGGUCGUGCUAAUAUCGCGACUUCUUGACGGUACCCCCAAAGGAAGCACCGGCUAACUCCGUGCCAGCAGCCGCGGUAAUAC
rnacentral:rRNA from 1 species